CUAUAAAGGAAGGCAGUUAGAAGACUUUCAAGCUUUCUUUUUCAGCAGGGCUCAUCUGGCAGCUGGCUGGAGUUAGUAGAAGAUGAGAGAGGUACAUGAGAAGAAAAUGCUGGAAAUUGAAUAUCCUGAACUUUUGGUUAAGAUGGUAAAAUUUGAAGCCUGGACAAACAGGAGCUUUACAACCUUCGGAAAAGAGGAGUACUCAUGGAGUACUCAUAGUACCAUUGACACUACCUGGGAAGCAUCUGGCUGAGUAGCAGCCCUCACCAGAAGGACUUAGAGGUUAUGAUGGAUACUAUGUUGAAGAUGUGCUGACAGUGCACUGUCACAGCAAAUAAGGCGAAUAGCAGAAAUCUUCAUUAGAAGGAAAAUAGCCAAAUGCUUGAUGAAUGCUAGGUGAAUGUAUGUAUUCCAGCAGGGCUACAAAAGCUUGGUCUUUGUGAUGUUCUUCCACAAGACACCUUAGAUGCUUUAUUGUUCUGAUGCAAACAGCACUGUGGCUUUGUUCACGUAAAGACAUGGGGUAAUAAGAUCAAAGCUGUCUUGGGUACCAUUCUGUAGGUUCCAAUUACACCUCUGGUUGAAGCACAGACAGAUAUUUUCAUCUUGACUUGCUUCUGGAAGUACCCUCCUCUUCCUCUUCCACUCCCACCCUGCAGCUCAGUGUCUGGAGUCAACCUCAGCUAAAUACCAGAAGACACCAGAAAUGUGAGCCAGCUGCUCAGAUGCUCAGAGAAAUGACCUGAGAAGAAAGAGCCAGGUGACACAUCCCAGGAAAUCCUGUCCUAAAAGGAAAAUGCAUUCAUCAUUCAGAUAACUUCUGCCACUGAAAAGCCAUCUGGAUAAACAAGGAAAGAGUUACACAACCGUUGCACAGAUCCUCAUCCUUUCCUGUCCACUUGUAGAAAGGCAGAUGUGUUAAAUAAGGCUUCAUCUGUGGGCAGAGAGUAGAAUGGGAGACUGUGGGGGAGAAAGCACAGCCUGGAAUUCCUGAGGCCAGCAGUAAGGAGAGCAAGUGCUGUGCUUCUGUCAUCAGAUCCUUUGUGUCGUGCACAAUACUCAUAACUGGAAGUUGGGCAGUGAAGACACAGUGAUCAACACAGUUGUGUCACCCGGAGAAAAUGGAAACUUGUAUCGUCAGAAGACCACCUGCAGAAUCUCAUUUUCUCCAGCUUCUCCACUUCUAAACAAGGCAUUGCUAAGUGUCAUCACAAGAUCCAUCUUCUUCCUACACCUCAACCACACCACUGCCCAGGUAGUGAGUCUCCACUGCAAGAGAUGGUCAUCAAGCUGACUUCCCUGCAUUACCUGUCCUCACUCAGCAGCCCUGUGCCCCCUCAUUCCUCCCAGAUGCCUAUCUUUCUGCUCUCCAGCAGGUGCCAAGAUCUUUCCAGAUCUUUCCCUUGUACUCCGUGUCUUCCAGAAGGAAGGAGGAAGUUGGAGGUGUCUGAUGACUUGGGGAGGCAAGAGGAGAGUCAGAAAUUCAGUAGAUGCCUUUGGAGCACUGUGGUGAUUUUCUACAAAGUUAGAAUGGAGAAGGAAUAAAUUAUUGCUGAAGAUUCACAGGCUGACAAGAACCUUAUCAGGAAGCGAUUGGAAGACAUUUUCAUUAGUGUUACCAUUUAUAGCUAUAAAUAAUAGGAGAAGCAUUAACCAAAGAAAGCCUAUUGUCACCUGCAUCCAAAGGCAAGAGAAAUCUUUGAGGAAGAGCCAUGUUCAGUGCUGUUUUUCCAUUUUAGAGAGGGUCAACACAGAAAUCUGACUGGUAGCCUCAAAAACUGAAUGAAACCUAUACCCCUCAAAAACCAAGAAGAAAUGGAGUACUGCAGAGACUUCAUUCCCCCUCACUCAAGAGGACAGGCUGUAGGUCAGACUGGGAAGUCAUAGCAAUCUGUGUGUAUUCACAGACUGAACUGAAUCCCUCAUAAAUAGUGGAAUAUCAUCUGGGAGAAAGUCUGUUAUGAGAACAGUCUUGGAAGCUAGCUAGAAUAUGGCAAAUCUAUUGAGCAGCUGAGAUAACAAGAACACACGCAGGAGAGUUAAGGGCAGAAGGAAAUGGGUGUACAGUAUGUGUCAUAAAUUACAAAAGGAGAGUAUGCAGGGUGUGCAUGGGAGACUGAAUGCUGUGAGCAAAGGUCAGGACCAGACACUGAAAUGAAAAGGUACAUGUGUGAUGCAGCAGAAGCUGUAACCUAACUCGUUUGUAGGAAAAUUCACAAGGAGAUGGGAAAGGAAAUAUUUUUAUUUACUUUUUUUUCUUUCCUGCCAAAUACUGCGGGUCAUUAGCUGGGACAAGCUGUUGGUAACAGAGCAGGCUCUCCAGAGACCAAGUUCUUACAUCCCAGCUCUGAGGCUGCCAGUUAAAGUUGAGGCAUCUCAGAGUCACAUCAUCUACAGAGACCAGCAUUCCCCAUAGGACUGGCCUGGGAUGCCUGGCUGUAGCGCCAGAGGCAAGCUGGGGUUGUUUCUCAUCACAGAACUGAAGGCAGCAGGGUUUAAGGGAAAUGAGAAGGCAAAGGCUGGCCUGUUUGAUUCAAAUAGUCCCUUCUAGCAUAAAGGGAGAUGCUAUAGACAAUCCCAGUUUAUGGCAUGAGCUCUCCUCUGAGCACUUCUAGAGAGGUAUUUAAAUCCCUGCUCUAAGCUCAUGCUGCAAAAGCCGUGGAUCAGACCCAGGGAUGUCUGUCCUGUUUCAGUAUUCUAAGUGCAGGUUCCUCCCCCAGUGCUCAGGGGAAGGGCUGUGCAGUGGCAGAGCCGUAAUUUACAGAUGAUGAUGUGGGCUUCAGUCUUUAUUUUUACUGUUCAAAUCCUCUGUGUCCUGUGACUUUGUUCCUCAUUCACAAACAGUGAAAAAUAUCACUUCCUUGUUCUGAAGAAGAAAUAGAGCAAAUAGCUUGAGAUGUGAUGCUGCAUCUGUAGAAGCCAUGGAGUACUGCAGCUGUGAAAUAUGACUUUGUUCUUGCAUAAAAUAUAUGCAUGCAGUGUUAAUUGCACAAAGAGAAUGAACGUGAAGCAUGAGCUCAACUGCUGAAUUGCAGGAAAGGAAAACUGCAUGACAACCUGAAGACCUGUAUGAUUCCAUCCCACUCCCCAUCCCUGUCACGCUGCUCGACAUAUUUAAAAUCUCCAGAGAUCCUCCUUUAAGAUACCAGUGUUUCCCAUUGUGCUGGCUUUUAUUGGAUUUUGGGUGCCAUUCAGUUAUCCCCCCCCUCAGCCACUUGAAUUCUUGAAAUGCUGGGAUCAUAUUUCACCUGAUCUGGCACUGAACCAUGUUCGCUAUCUCACCCCAAAAUUAAUUAAACCAUAAAUUUUCAGAAUAAACAUGCAGCAUCUACUAUCACUGAAACAGUCUGGGCUUUGUUGAGGAAACUGCUAUGAGAACAAAGCUACCUCUUUCUCUUUCUUCCCACCCUGCACCUCUCUUCUCUUGAUGUGUAUCAGCAAAUACAGUAAAUACAGUACCUCCCUCUCUGUUACAAAGAGAGAUUUUUAUUCUGCUGUUGUCACCAUUUUAUAGACUUAGAAGAAACUGUAACAGUUCACAUGGUGAGGUCUUGCAGGAGGGCAUUAUCUCCAGGGAAGUAACUACUGAGAUGAAAAGGAGCUGUUUUCCAAUAUUAAUACAACUGGGUAUUUACAACUUUGGCUCUGACAAUACUUAAAGCUUGGAAGAUAUCAACGCAAUGUUCCAAAACAGUCUCCAAUUAAAUUACUGGAGAGAAAAUAACUAAAACAAGGAUAUCCACUCUCUAUUCUGGACCUGUAGGUAGUCUGCAGGCUGAUGAAUCCAUCUAAGACCCAAAGGAAAACUUACAUCCCCUGAAACUUGCUUAUUUUUUCCUUUAACUUGCUUGUUCCAGUUAAAAUGUGCUUCCUCUCCCUGCAGUUUACUGUCAAGAACUCCUCCGCUUUACCCACAUGAUUCAGAGACCUUUAUCCUUAUCCUCAGGUGUUCUACUCCCAUCUGUGCCCAUAAAGCAAACUGGACUGCUGCUUGGGUGGGAGACCUACAGAGCAUUAUGGUUGCUACAGGCGGUGUAACUAAAGGUGGCAUUUUUAUUCCUUGAAGCAACCAUCAGCCAACACCCUCACCUGGUAUUCAAGGUUGUGGGUUGAUAGAUAUAAAUCUGAGCUCCUGACCAGCUCUGGUCUUUGGAAAUUCUCUACUAUGUCUGAUUGUGGCUCUGGUGCAAUGGUGUUAUGGCUGUGUUCCAGCUCUGCUAAUUUGCACUCUUCCAACUUACACUCUCCUGUGCUUUGAUAGAAUGCUGUGCACUUCUUCAGCUCUUAAACAUAUGUCUAGUGCAGAUAAAUGUUGUUUCUUCCUAGCCAAAAUGAA